AGUGAACGCUGGCGGCGUGCUUAACACAUGCAAGUCGAACGAGAACGGGUUAGAGCUUGCUAUAAUUGUCAGCUAAGUGGCGCACGGGUGAGUAAUGUAUAGGUAAUAUGCCUCUUACUAAGGGAUAACAAAUGGAAACGUUUGCUAAUACCUUAUACUCCUUAUUAACAUAAGUUAAUAUGGGAAAGAUUUAUUGGUAAGAGAUUAGCCUGUAUUGUAUCAGUUAGUUGGUGGGGUAAUGGCUUACCAAGACUAUGACACAUAACUGGUUGGAGAGGAUGAUCAGUCACACUGGAACUGAGAGACGGUCCAGACUCCUACGGGAGGCAGCAGUGGGGAAUAUUGCACAAUGGACGAAAGUCUGAUGCAGCAACGCCGCAUGGAGGAUGACACAUUUCGGUGCGUAAACUCCUUUUAUAUGAGAAGAUAAUGACGGUAUUAUAUGAAUAAGCACCGGCUAACUCCGUGCCAGCAGCCGCCGUAAGAC
rnacentral:rRNA from 1 species